AUCGGACCCGAUUGAUCGGGUGGCUCGGCCGGGCGCCUAUCCCCCGGAAACCC
rnacentral:ncRNA from 1 species